ACGAACGCUGGCGGCGUGCCUAAUACAUGCAAGUCGAGCGGACCAACUUAAGAGCUUGCUCUUAUGAGGUUAGCGGUGGACGGGUGAGUAACACGUGGGCAACCUGCCCUGUAGACUGGGAUAACAUCGAGAAAUCGGUGCUAAUACCGGAUAAUUAUUGGAACUGCAUAGUUCUAACUUAAAAGAUGGCUCCGGCUAUCACUAUAGGAUGGGCCCGCGGCGCAUUAGCUAGUUGGUAAGGUAAUGGCUUACCAAGGCGACGAUGCGUAGCCGACCUGAGAGGGUGAUCGGCCACACUGGGACUGAGACACGGCCCAGACUCCUACGGGAGGCAGCAGUAGGGAAUCUUCCGCAAUGGACGAAAGUCUGACGGAGCAACGCCGCGUGAGUGAUGAAGGUUUUCGGAUCGUAAAGCUCUGUUGUUAGGGAAGAACAAGUGCCGUUCGAAUAGGGCGGCACCUUGACGGUACCUAACCAGAAAGCCACGGCUAACUACGUG
rnacentral:rRNA from 1 species